UUGAACUACAUUUCCCAGGAGCCCACUUACUUCCUGUCAUUGAGGCUAAGCCUCUUUGCUUCCUGUUGGCAACUGUGAUGGAGCGGGCUGUUUGAACAGCCUGGUUCUGGGGAUGAAGCCUUUUGUGAUAGACUUUGGCUUGUCCUGCCUACCUCAGUCUCCUCUCACUCCUCUGCCUUCCAAGUCCUGUUCUGCUUUUCUCUGAUAUUGUAUAACCUUAAGCAUCCCUAUUCCCUGAGACACAACAAAAUUGAAAUUAAGCCAAUUAAUAAACCUACAAUGGCCUCUAAGUGUUCCAAGUAA
rnacentral:lncRNA from 1 species